AACACUUAAUGCGUUAACUGCGGCACAGCAGGGGUCAAUACCCGCUACACCUAGUGUUCACCGUUUACUGCGUGGACUACCAGGGUAUCUAAUCCUGUUUGCUCCCCACGCCUUCGCGCCUCAGCGUUCAGUAUUUGGUCCAGGAAGUCGCCUUCGCCACCGGUGUUCCUCCUGAUAUCUACGAAUUUCACCUCUACACCAGGAAUUCCACUUCCCUCUCCCAUACUCAAGCCACUUAGUUUCAAAUGCACUUCCGGGGUUAAGCCCGGGGCUUUCACAUCUGACUUAAGAAGCCGCCUACGCGCCCUUUACGCCCAAUAAUUCCGAAUAACGCUUGCACCCUCC
rnacentral:rRNA from 1 species